rnacentral:rRNA from 1 species
CCUACGGGAGGCAGCAGUGGGGAAUAUUGCACAAUGGGCGCAAGCCUGAUGCAGCGACGCCGCGUGAGGGAUGACGGCCUUCGGGUUGUAAACCUCUUUCACCAGGGACGAAGCGCAAGUGACGAUACCUGGAGAAGAAGCACCGGCCAACUACGUGCCAGCAGCCGCGGUAAU